UACGUAGUGUGCGAGCGUUGUCCGGAAUUAUUGGGCGUAAAGCGUGCGCAGGCGGCUUCGCAAGUCAGACGUGAAAUCCCCGGGCUUAACCUGGGAAUGGCGUUUGAAACUACGGAGCUGGAGUAUGGCAGAGGGGGGUGGAAUUCCACGUGUAGCGGUGAAAUGCGUAGAUAUGUGGAGGAACACCGAUGGCGAAGGCAGCCCCCUGGGCCAAUACUGACGCUCAUGCACGAAAGCGUGGGGAGCAAACAGG
rnacentral:rRNA from 1 species